rnacentral:rRNA from 1 species
AUUGAACGCUAGCGGGAUGCCUUACCCAUGCAAGUCGAACGAGUGGCGAACGGGUGAGUAAUGUAUCUGAACGUGCCCAGUAGCGGGGGAUCACUACGCGAAACGUAGCUAAUACCGCAUACUAUUGGAGCGGCCGAUAUCGGAUUAGCUAGUGGGUGGGGUAACGGCUCACCAAGACGACGAUCCCUAGCUGGGUUGAGAGGACGACCAGCCACACUGGUACGGCGACACGGCCCAGACUCCUACGGGAGGCAGCAGUGGGGAAUUUUGGACAAUGGGGGAAACCCUGAUCCAGCCAUCCCGCGUGUGCGAUGAAGGCCUUCGGGGUGUAAAGCACUUUUGGCAGGAAAGCGGUACCUGCAGAAUAAGCACCGGCUAACUACGUGCCAGCAGCCGCGGUAAUAC